rnacentral:rRNA from 1 species
UGCAAGUAGAACGCUGAAGAGAGGAGCUUGCUCUUCUUGGAUGAGUUGCGAACGGGUGAGUAACGCGUAGGUAACCUGCCUUGUAGCGGGGGAUAACUAUUGGAAACGAUAGCUAAUACCGCAUAACAAUGGAUGACACAUGUCAUUUAUUUGAAAGGGGCAAUUGCUCCACUACAAGAUGGACCUGCGUUGUAUUAGCUAGUAGGUGAGGUAACGGCUCACCUAGGCGACGAUACAUAGCCGACCUGAGAGGGUGAUCGGCCACACUGGGACUGAGACACGGCCCAGACUCCUACGGGAGGCAGCAGUAGGGAAUCUUCGGCAAUGGGGGCAACCCUGACCGAGCAACGCCGCGUGAGUGAAGAAGGUUUUCGGAUCGUAAAGCUCUGUUGUAAGUCAAGAACGAGUGUGAGAGUGGAAAGUUCACACUGUGACGGUAGCUUACCAGAAAGGGACGGCUAACUACGUGCCAGCAGCCGCGGUAAUACGUAGGUCCCGAGCGUUGUCCGGAUUUAUUGGGCGUAAAGCGAGCGCAGGCGGUUUGAUAAGUCUGAAGUUAAAGGCUGUGGCUCAACCAUAGUUCGCUUUGGAAACUGUCAAACUUGAGUGCAGAAGGGGAGAGUGGAAUUCCAUGUGUAGCGGUGAAAUGCGUAGAUAUAUGGAGGAACACCGGUGGCGAAAGCGGCUCUCUGGUCUGUAACUGACGCUGAGGCUCGAAAGCGUGGGGAGCGAACAGGAUUAGAUACCCUGGUAGUCCACGCCGUAAACGAUGAGUGCUAGGUGUUGGAUCCUUUCCGGGAUUCAGUGCCGCAGCUAACGCAUUAAGCAUUCCGCCUGGGGAGUACGACCGCAAGGUUGAAACUCAAAGGAAUUGACGGGGGCCCGCACAAGCGGUGGAGCAUGUGGUUUAAUUCGAAGCAACGCGAAGAACCUUACCAGGUCUUGACAUCCCGAUGCUAUUUCUAGAGAUAGAAAGUUACUUCGGUACAUCGGUGACAGGUGGUGCAUGGUUGUCGUCAGCUCGUGUCGUGAGAUGUUGGGUUAAGUCCCGCAACGAGCGCAACCCUUAUUGUUAGUUGCCAUCAUUCAGUUGGGCACUCUAGCGAGACUGCCGGUAAUAAACCGGAGGAAGGUGGGGAUGACGUCAAAUCAUCAUGCCCCUUACGACCUGGGCUACACACGUGCUACAAUGGUUGGUACAACGAGUUGCGAGUCGGUGACGGCAAGCUAAUCUCUUAAAGCCAAUCUCAGUUCGGAUUGUAGGCUGCAACUCGCCUACAUGAAGUCGGAAUCGCUAGUAAUCGCGGAUCAGCACGCCGCGGUGAAUACGUUCCCGGGCCUUGUACACACCGCCCGUCACACCACGAGAGUUUGUAACACCCGAAGUCGGUGAGGUAACC